rnacentral:rRNA from 1 species
UACGGAAGGCAGCAGUGGGGAAUAUUGCACAAUGGGCGCAAGCCUGAUGCAGCCAUGCCGCGUGUAUGAAAAAGGCCUUCGGGUUGUAAAGUACUUUCAGUCGUGAGGAAGGUGUUAAGGUUAAUAACCUUAGCAAUUGACGUUAGCGACAGAAGAAGCACCGGCUAACUCCGUGCCAGCAGCCGCGGUAAUACGGAGGGUGCGAGCGUUAAUCGGAAUUACUGGGCGUAAAGGGCACGCAGGCGGUUAAUUAAGUUGGAUGUGAAAUCCCCGGGCUUAACCUGGGAAUGGCAUUCAAGACUGGUUAGCUAGAGUCUUGUAGAGGGAGGUAGAAUUCCAUGUGUAGCGGUGAAAUGCGUAGAGAUGUGGAGGAAUACCGGUGGCGAAGGCGGCCCCUGGACAAGACUGACGCUCAUGUGCGAAAGCGUGGGGAGCAAACG